ACGUCACCAUGCCUCAGUGGCAGUGUGAUCACGCCAUGAUCGGAAGGUUGAGGGUUCGAGUCCUGACCCCUAAACAUCCCGAGGUCCCAUGUCACAAUCACUGAGGAUAAGUCUAUAUUUAUAGUUAAAACUGACUUCUACAUGUAGCUACACAUGAAGGCUAUAGCCCCUGUGGUCACACUAGAUGUCUUAAUUAAGACCCCUCCCCUACUGAAUGUACCGAGAACACCGGUAGCAUUCAGGUAAAUAAGUGUGACGUCACACCCACGUCUCAAAGAGAAGAAAACUUCCUUAAUAAUCACGCAAAAUAUUAAAACAUCAGAGGCAUCUAAAAUUUACAUGUACAGUACAGUACUUGCACUAUUUUGCGAAGACACGUGUGCGUUAAUCGAUUGAACACGCAUUAUUACAUGAGCAUUAAUUACAUACAGUAUGCUGUACGAAAUAACAAGGCAAUACAUAAAACAAUAAUAUCCACAUAUAUAUUUUUUUUAUUUCAGAAGUAUACAUCAUAGGGUUCAACCUACACGCGACACUUUAAAAUAAAAACACACGAAUUUCUGUUCAACACGGCACAACACAGGGACAAAAUAUUACACGUGUGUUCACACCAUGAAUGGUGAAGAUAACGAACAGUGAUCAAUCUCAUAACUCCUAUAAGCAAUACAAAAUAGAGAGUUGGGAAAACACGGACCCCUGGAUAUACCAGAGGUGGGAUAUGAUUUUACGCCCUAUCGUAGCGGACGGUGUUCAACGCACCUUUUACAUUCUGGUCACCUCCCCACUCACCAUAACAAUACAUUUGGGGGGUGGGGGUGGGGGUGGUUGCAAUGAUUAUUUGAUGUCGUAUAAGUGGAUAAAUGUUAAAUAGGAUCGAUUCCAGCUGUGAUUUUAUUGUUUCACAUUUAUUUUGUGAUUUUAUUGUUUCACAUUUAUUUUGUGAUUUUAUUGGUUCACAUUUAUUUUCAGUAUUUUCGAUGAACUUUGUUUUAGGCCAGUUCUUUAGUUUCUACCAAAUGAAGAGAAUUUUAUCGGGUGUGCUGUUUCAUUGUUAGUUUCUACAGACUGAAGAGAAUUUUAUCGGGUGUGUUGUUCCAUUCCGAAUGAAGAGAAUUUUAUCGGGUGUGUUGUUCCAUUCCGAAUGAAGAGAAUUUUAUCGGGUGUGUUGUUCCAUUCCGAAUGAAGAGAAUUUUAUCGGGUGUGUUGUUCCAUUCCGAAUGAAGAGAAUUUUAUCGGGUGUGUUGUUCUUUUGUGUUGUUCUGUGAACUUUUAAAUCCGCUUGUCUUACAAAUUUUUUUUUCAUCCUGGGAAUCAAAAACAUAUAGAUUUGUUUUUGUUUAUUUUCAGUUUUAUUUUCUGUUUUAAGUAUGUAGAUAGCAUAUGUACAUGUAUGUAACAUACCUUCAUAUACUAUUUUAUUAUAUUGUAUCUGUAUAAUACUGCUGUCUGUAUAUAUAUCUUUUCAGGACCACAAUGUAAACUAGUUUUUAAAACUAAUUGUGCUAUCCUGUUUAAAUUAUGUUCCAUCGUAACAGUAUACAGUGCUGACCAAGCUGACAUUGAGGGGAAAGUGAAGCAAGUGCACAAUGAUGGUUUUAAAAUCUUAAACUUUAAAAUUUACGUUUUCUAGUGAAGAAAUGCAGUUUUAGUGUAAAGUAACCUAACAAAUAUAAACACUGCUAGACUUGAACCCAUGAUCUUCAAAUCGACAGUCUCACACAUUAACCCAUUGAUCUAUACGGCUAGGCAAUCAGAUUAAAGGAGGCAUACAACCUCGUUAUAAUAGUUGACUUCCGUUUAGAACUUGAAUGAAAAUAUAAAUGUCAGCAAUAUUUUUAUAUUGUUUCAAUUUUUGUUUGCCGAGCUGGGCAGCUCAGUCUGUAAACGUGUCAACUGCUGAACUUUUUACUAAAACCGCAUUUUUGACUAAACAAAGUAAAUUUAAAAGUUUUCAGUUUCACUUCCCCCCAAUUUAUCAAAUUUCUCUGGUGCAUUCUUCCUCCUUAAAAGGACAAGGAACUAGGUUGUUAUCAUUCGAAAGAAAGACAGCUAUUACACAUAUGAUGUGUUCUUCCUGUCGAAGAAUACUUUUUUUCUUUUUCACGGACAUAAAAUUAUUCAAAUAGUAGUAGCGUACUUCAUCAUAUACAUAAACACACGAUUCUACUUGUAAAGCUUCCCUAAAUAUUCUUAUAGAAUAUAUAAGGAAACUAUUACUAACCACAGGGAAAUUUUCGCUUUACAGUCAGUCGAGGGAUUUUCGCGGGAUAGCAGGAACUUCCGAUUGGCUGAGGGAAUGUUCAUCUUUGCAUUUCCUUACUGGAAAUUAAAGAAAAACCCACUGUCUAGAAAAUCUAUUUAAUCUUAUGGAUUACCCUGGACUGAGGAGAUAAUAUUAUUCAUUCUUUACCGCCCUGUACCAGUGACCCCAGCUGCUUUUCUUGUGCGGUAAUUUGUAGUAAAUGACAUAAACACAUUAUACAUAUGAUAUAUUGUAAAAUGAACGAGUUGUUUGAAAAUAAAAUAACCAAAAGUAGAAUAAUUAUACCAUUUUAUUAUUAUUUUGCUUCAAAUUCCGAAGACGAGAAAAUCUUGCUCAUUUACUAAUGAUAACAUCACUAGCAUUUGUAAAGGGUUUAAGUUCAAAUAUACCCUAUAUAUCUUAAUAAUACACAGAAGAAUUGUCGCUGCUUUACAGAAUUUUGUGAUCCAAGAUGACAAAAACUUCCUCGAUUCUAAAGUAGUUAAGGGCAUUAUCACUGAUAAAACACAAUAUUGCGUGUUUGAUUUUUAACAGUUCAUAUCAAAGAAUGAUUAAAAAAAACCACCUAGUGAUCCUAAUUGUUCGCGAACAAUUAGAGGGCUUCCCACCUUCUACUGGUUUUUCAGUAGUGUUCAAAUGCUAAAAGCCCCCCCCCCCCUCCCUCCAAAAAAAAAUAUGGAAAAAAGAAAAAAUUCAAAUUUGCCGCUUUCAGUGUUGGAAAUUGAGGCCUUGGUUUCGCACGAUAGUACAGCUUAAAUAUUUGAAAAAAGGGGUGUGGAUGUUAGAUAGCCGGCACAUAUCGGGUAAAAGUGUAAUAGGACUUGUGCAGGUGUUUGGGGUAACUUUAGACCUGUUAGAUAUGAUAUUUGGAGAUGAAAAGAAACCGGAUGUGACAUUUUCAGAGAUUACACAUGUAGUGCUGACACUCUGUUCAUGCAUGGCAUGCUGGGAGAGCCUCAUGUUGAGAAGAUGGCAUGUUAGGACUUGCACUGGAUUUUACCGUGUGUGUUGUGGAUUGUGGAAUUUAAUAUACAGUUUGUAAUUGCUCAUCCUAUGUGUUCUAAUUCACGGAGACAAUGUCUUUCAGUCAUUUCACACUAGGAGGCAUGCAUACGGACUUAGGCUGUGAAAACAAACAACCAAAAAUGGCGGCCGGUGAAAGAAAGUUCUGAACGGAGAAUAUGAAUACUGCAUCCCAUCUGACCCUGCAUGGUCCUCCGGUGGAAAAAAGCUUGCGACCUUGAAAUAACCUUGACACAAAAGCAAGAAAGGCGACACCCUCUCUCUCUCUGUGUGUGUGCGUCAAAGAAAUAAUCGAAAUACUCCGCUUGCUCUGCAGUGAAGAGGCUUUUCCAGUCUCCCACCACGCCUGAAACGACAAAGAGUGCACUACAGGGGUGGAUCCAGGAGUUUUUGAAAAGGGGUUCUACCAUUAAUUUUGGUUUUCAAAAGCGUGUG